AUGGCUGAGGAUACCAAGUUCCUCCUUUUGUCUCUCCUCUUGAGCAGCUCAUCAUCGUUGUGUUUUGGUUCUGAACAAGAUAUCCAGUGCCUGAGGUCUGUGCAACAAUCAGUGAUUGAUCCCUUGGGCAUACUCAAAUCCUCUUGGAACUUCGGAUAUGCCACCAACGGUUACAUAUGCAGCUUUACUGGUGUGGAAUGCUGGCACGGCUACGAGAACAAGGUUCUCUCUCUGCGACUCGACAACCUAGGACUUGAAGGCCCAUUUCCUCAGGGUCUUCAAAAUUGCACAAGCUUGAACAUCUUGGACCUGUCGUAUAACAACUUUUCAGGACCCAUUCCCUCUGGUAUCGCACAGCAGAUACCGUAUGUGACAUCUCUGAUUCUCUCAUACAAUAACUUUUCAAGUGAAAUCCCAGAGAGUAUGGCAAAUUUGGCAUACCUGAACACGUUCAACCUUCAGCAUAACCAACUCAGAGGUCAAAUUCCAGAACGCUUCAGCAUGCUCGGUCGGUUAACCUCAUCCAAUGUUGCAGGAAACUUACUAUCAGGGCCUAUCCCCACUUUUGCACAGGACUUCUCGCCUUUAUACUUUGCUGGUAAUCGGGACCUUUGUGGUGCACCAUUGGACGAGUGCCCCAGGAGUCAAAGAUGGAGGCUGAUACCAAUCAGGCUGCGCAGGAUCAACGAAGAGUCCAGUAUCGGAGCGGUUGUCGGGUUCGUCCUAGGGUUCGUGGUGGCCUUCUACUUCCACUUACUCUGCCGUGAGAGGAUCCUUCCUUGUGUCUUCCGC
rnacentral:rRNA from 1 species